rnacentral:rRNA from 1 species
GAUGAACGCUGGCGGCGUGCCUAAUACAUGCAAGUCGAGCGAAUGGAUUAAGAGCUUGCUCUUAUGAAGUUAGCGGCGGACGGGUGAGUAACACGUGGGUAACCUGCCCAUAAGACUGGGAUAACUCCGGGAAACCGGGGCUAAUACCGGAUAACAUUUUGAACCGCAUGGCUCGAAAUUGAAAGGCGGCUUCGGCUGUCACUUAUGGAUGGACCCGGGUCGCAUUAACUAGGUGGUGAGGUAACGGCUCACCAAGGCAACGAUGCGUAGGCGACCUGAGAGGGUGAUCGGCCACACUGGGACUGAGACACGGCCCAGACUCCUACGGGAGGCAGCAGUAGGGAAUCUUCCGCAAUGGACGAAAGUCUGACGGAGCAACGCCGCGUGAGUGAUGAAGGCUUUCGGGUCGUAAAACUCUGUUGUUAGGGAAGAACAAGUGCUAGUUGAAUAAGCUGGCACCUUGACGGUACCUAACCAGAAAGCCACGGCUAACUACGUGCCAGCCGCCGCAGUAA